rnacentral:lncRNA from 1 species
GCCACUAAUAAUUUGGUAGCGACAUUUAAGUCGCCGCAACAGAGAACUUCAUUUUUCUGUAUCCCUUUUAGAGGCGACUAAGGGUCACCACAGAUACUAAAUUUUCAUUAAAAAAAAAAAUAAUCUAUUUUACUAUUAAUUAUCCAAUAUAUAACAGUUAUCCAUUACCAAUACCAAGACAACACCACAUGCAUUUCUCAAGAAGAGUAAUAUAAGAACUUUCCAUUACUUAAAGGUCAUAAUACAAAAAAAACACUUCAUAAAUACAUGUCAAGGUAUCUACACAUGAAAACAAAAGAAUCACAAGAUACUAUCUUCAAACUCCUUGCCAACUAUUCCCAUUAUAAACAAUGUUGUCUCUGAAAUUGGAAAAAAAAAAAUGAAUGAAAGCAAGGCUUCAUUUCGAUAACAUGAUAUUGUGCAUGAAAGAGUUUGAGAAAAAUCUAGCAUCAUCUUGAAAGAUGGCAGAAAUUGAAGUUGUACAUAUCAUGAGUGCGAGAAAUUUUACUUUUUAGGGUAUUCAACAUUCAAUAAAAACUUCUUUUCUCACUGCCGGGGGAAAUUGUCACUAAUCAUCUCCAUAUGUACAAUAAACAAUUUUCAGUAGAUGGCCUUUUGAUUUACUUUUUCUCUCUAUGAAUAUAAACAUAAAGUACUAAUUACUAAGGCAGUCGAUGACUUAUGUAGCUCAAACAUUCUAAAUAUCAGCAAUUAUGUCUUACCUCUACGAUGAAUAAGUCCAAAAAAGAUGAGUAUUUCCAAGUGCCAUUGCAAACUUAUAGAAAAUUCAGUCACCUUGAAUAACAUAGAAAUUGAAACUUUUCAGAGGUACAGAACAAAGAAAAGGGUAAUGAAGUUCAUAAUAUAUAGCACCUAAAAUGAUUACAAUUCAAUUUUAGUUGCACAAUUGCAAUCAAAUGACUAUAAGAAAGAUAAUUUACCAUUCUUUAAAUUGAAGCUACCUGUUACUUAUUUAUUCAUGUUCUUAACAUUACAUUUACAUUUGCAAGCAUCUAGAUAACUCUAUAAGCAAGCUUUCCCUGUAACUACUUCUUUGAUUAGUCUUUAUAUAGCAUUUAGCUAUAUAAUUCAGAACCUUCUAUUUGUAAUAUAUCUAAUGCUAUAAAUAAGGCUUUCACCUUAAUAUCCUUAUUAUAAAAUCAAAUUUGCAAUAUUAAGUAGGACUCUUGUGAUCAACAUAUCUCAUUCUUCUUUUUCUUUUAUACAAUUUCUCUAAUACUAUCUAUAGUUUGAUCUGUGCUAAUAAAACACACAACAAUAGUAGAUGAUAAAGUAGACUAGAGAGUAUCAACAAAGAAAAUAUACAUCAAAUAUGUGUAGUAAAUUUCAUAAGCAACAAAAGAAAAGUCACAGAAGCUUACCACACUGGCAGUAGGAUGAACAGAUGAAACAGUCUUAGUAGCUAUGUAUAGAGACUGAUGAUGAGGAAGAAUUUCUUCUUUAUUCUUUAAUCCCCCCUCCUCCCAAAUACAUAAGUUAAAAAGUACUCCACGGCUACUAUAAAAUUUGUUAACAGGAACAAGAAAGAACAAGAGGAUUAAUAUCCUAUCUAGAAUGGGUUACCCUAUUUUAUAUUAUUCAAUUUACAUGGCAAGUAUUAACUAAUAACAAACCUCUACUAUCUGCAGCAAGUAUAUUUACAAUUAUUAUUUGAACUAACGAUGUACAUCUAUUACAAUAAUUGAGUACUAUAUAGAUAGAUGAAAAUAAUUAUGGUAUAUAGCAACUCAAAGAUUGACUUUCUUCUACUGAUUAAUCAAAGUUCACCUCUAUUAUUCUCAAAUCAGAACACAGCUCUUCAUGCCUAAGCUACAGUUAAUUAGAUCAAAUUACUCAAAUGACUUGCAUAUGUGGACUUCAACUAAUCUACAUCAAACACUUAUUGAUGAAACCAACUAAUGAAUAAUUUAAAAGUAAUUUACACAAAUGUUGGUCUUCUAUAAAUUCAUGUUAUCAUACCCUUUUGAUUUAGACCUACCAUCUAAACAACUACAAAGAAAAUUAUGAAUUUCACAAAGUUUACUUUCAUAGAAGAAGGAAAUGGCAAGUAAUACAGCACCCUAAAAGAGUAAAGUUAAAAAGGAUAUCAAAGUUUCUUUGUUCAACAAGACACCUCAAACAUUUUAAAUCGAGAAAAGGCAAUUGGAGAGAAGGAUUGAGUCCUUGAGAAGAAAAUAUUUUAAAUCGAGAAAGGCAACAGGAGAGAAGGAAUGAGUCUAUGAAAAGAAACUUACUACCACCAAAUAACAGAAUUAUAGCUCUUCCUCACUUCAACUCCAGCCUGAAUUAGAAACAACAUAAAAGAAUUAUAAGUGCAACAAAGAUUACACUGGCAUUACAAUAGAAAAUUGAUAAAAAGGCAAAUGUUCUUCAGCUCGGAAGUAAUUAAAUCUACAAAACUAAGAAUAGAUAGAGAAACUACAAGAAAAAAAUACUUGGAUUGUCCAAUAGUCAAUAUAAUGAGGGCGCUGAGACGAACACAUUUAUUUGCUUUUGAGCCCACAUAUAUUUGAACAUAAGAGAAACACAACAAGAAAAAAAUGUCAUUACAGAAUAUGAUGCUGUCAAAAAGCAACUAAAAAUAGCAAUGUUUAACCAAUGAUAUGAAAGAAAAAAUCAGUAACUCCUCCAGAAAUUGCUGAAAUAAUCUGCACAACACAUCUGAAGAGUUAUAUGUUUAAAACUUUCAUCUCAAAAUUACAUCUAAUGAUUUUAGGGUUGAAGAUGUUUGAUGUAAUACCCCUGGAAACUACUGAUAUCACUAGUUACGAAACCAAUCUUACCAUCCCAUUCAUAAACGAACAGAAAGAAACAGGAGACGUACCAAUUUCCUAAGAGACGAAGCUAGGGCGUAGGAGAUAUAGAUUCCUGAGAACGAGAGCUAGAUAGCCGCGAAGAAGUAGGUACAAUACCGACAAUUACAAUCAUUGGUGUCACGACCCGAAAUUCCCACCGUCGGGACCGUGAUAGCGCCUAACAUUUCACUUGCUAGGCAAGCCAACGUUACAGAAUCAUUAAGCCAAUUCUUU